rnacentral:rRNA from 1 species
ACAUGCCUACAACAUAGCAUUAAUGCAUUGAAUCCCAUUAGAACUCUGCAAUUAAGCAUGCUCAGGCUAUAGUAGUAUUGGGAUGUGUGACCGUCCAGGAAGUCCUACUAUUUUACAUGUC